UUUUGGAAUUAACUUCUAAAGAUCUUUUAUUUACUUUUUCUCCAUUAACUUUAUCCUCUUUUUCUUUUCAGUAGAAACGUUUCCAGUUUAACAAUUGCGAAGGUAUCUUGAUUGCUGAAUUUAUCCGAUAUGCUUUUGCACCAUGGGUUUCUUUUGGGAGAUAAAUACAAAUCAUAUUGAUUUAUAUCUGUGACAUAAUUUGCUAUACUAUCUGACUCCGAUCCUUAUGUACUAAGUUUAAUUGGAUAAUUGUUGGGUGAAGAGCAACAAGAAAUCCUCAUACACCAGAAAGGUAUACAGGCGGAUCUUCCUCAGCCUCAGCAGCAAUUGUAGCUUCUGGAAUAUGCCCUGCAGCGCUUGGAACAGAUGGUAGAGGUUGUGAAAACUUAAUAUGAAAGGGUUACACUAUUAUUUCUUAUAUAUUUAAAUUUAGUAUUAGUUAUGCUUUUUCUAUUGUGAAUGAGCAGGUUCAGUGCGUAUACCUUCUUCCCUUUGUGGGGCAGUGUGCUUGAAGACAACAUUUGGAUGCACUGAUAUGGAAGGGUCAUUAUGUUCUGGUACUCUAGAAAUUAUUGGAACAAGUGCAUCGACUGUGGAGGAUAUAAUGCUAGUGCAAGAAAAUCAUGCUUGUAAUCGGCAAUCGUGUGCUCCUCUCUUGCGGAUAGAAUUAGUUUGAAACCGGUAUUUUUUGAAAACCUUACACCAUUGAGUACUCGCCAAGAAACUUUGAAAAAAACUGCAUUAUCAAGAUAUUACUUCUAUAAUGUGACCUUGUUGGCCACAAGAACGGAACAAAAGAAAAGUACAUGAAGAAAGAUAAUUGCAUUUACAGAAUAUAUGAGUAAUUAUCUGAUAUUCUGAUUUAGGAUUUAAUGACUCUAUAAUGUUGAUAAUUAUCCUCAUUUAAAUCUAGUCAUGCAUGGAAAUAGAUUUAUUUGGAAUUUUGUCCAGCUUUUAAUCCAUAAUAAUUAAUUAAUUAAUUUGUCUCUUCUCGCCUAUGUGCCAAAGCAAUCAUUGUUCACCUUUUGUAGGGCCCAUCUUGUGCUCCAAAUUUAUCUUUGACAAUUCAAACAUUUUGGGAUCCAUGCGACUGAAAGGAAGUAUUCAGCUGUAAUAGCCACUUCUUAGGGAAGUAGAUUAAACUCAAAUUUGUCUUACAUAUCAACUGACAUGUUUUAUAAAAGCAUAAACGUAUAUUCUCAUUCUCCUGCAGUGGUUUAAUGAUGUAUAUUCAACUGAUAUUUCUGAAAAAUGUGAGGAUGCUGUUGAUCUUUUGUCAAAAACCCAUUGUUGUGAAGUAUAAGUCUUGUUAUUAUCAUAUUCUUCAUGUAUUGUAAAUCCAUCAUUGUUUAUAAUUAAAAAAGUAAAAACUAUAUGUUUCAAAAAGAGAUUCAAUAUGCUUAUGCUAGGCUGAGACAGUACAAUUUCUUUAUUAUAAUUUUUCAAGAUUGUAGAAAUUGUUGUACCUGGCUUGAAGGGAAUGCAAAAUGCUCAUGUUGUUUCGAUUGGAUCUGAGACAGCGUGUUUGUUGAAUCCAAACUGUGCAGAUGGGAAUGUUCAUUGAAUCCGUCGUGUUGCCG